rnacentral:rRNA from 1 species
AUGAACGCUGGCGGCGUGCCUAAUACAUGCAAGUCGAACGGAGAGGAUGUAGCAAUAUAUCGUCUUAGUGGCGAACGGGUGAGUAACGCGUUGGUGACCUGCCCCGAAGAGGGGGAUAACAGUUCGAAAGGACUGCUAAUACCCCAUAGGGUCAAAGAGAUUAGAAGCUCAUUGACCAAAGGAGAAAUUCGCUUCGGGAGGGGCCUGCGUCCCAUCAGCUAGUUGGUAAGGUAACGGCUUACCAAGGCGACGACGGGUAGGGGACCUGAGAGGGUGGCCCCCCACAAUGGAACUGAAACACGGUCCAUACACCUACGGGUGGCAGCAGUAGGGAAUAUUAGUUAAUGUGCGAAAGCGCGAACUAGCAACGCCGCGUGUGCGAUGAAGGCCUUCGGGUCGUAAAGCACUUUUCGAGAAGAUGAGGAAGGACAGUACUCUCGGAAUAAGUCUCGGCUAACUACGU